AUUGAACGCUGGCAGCAGGCCUAACACAUGCAAGUCUAACGAGUGGCGGACGGGUGAGUAAUGUCUGGGAAACUGCCUGAUGGAGGGGGAUAACUACUGGAAAAGGUAGCUAAUACCGCAUACCAUCGGAUGUGCCCAGAUGGGAUUAGCUAGUAGGUGGGGUAAAGGCUCACCUAGGCCAGCAUCCCUAGCUGGGUUGAGAGGAUGACCAGCGACACUGGAACUGAGACACGGUACAGACUCCUACGGUAGGCAGCAGUGGGGAAGAUUGUACAAUGGGCGCAAGACUGAUGCAGCCAUGCCGCGUGUAUGAAGAAGGCCGUCGGGUUGUAAAGUACUUUCAGUGAGGAGGAGUUACCCGCAGAAGAUGCAACGGCUAACUCCGUGCCAGCAGCCGCGGUAAUAC
rnacentral:rRNA from 1 species